rnacentral:rRNA from 1 species
AACGAACGCUGGCGGCAUGCCUAACACAUGCAAGUCGAACGAGACCUCCGGGUCUGGUGGCGCAUGGGUGCGUAGAGCGUGGGACCGUGCGGUUAGGUUCGGAAUACUUCCCUGAAAGGGGUGAUAAUAUAGGGUAAUGUCCUCGGAUCACAGAUUUAUCGCCUUUGGAUGGGCCCGGGUUGGAUUAGCUUGUUGGUAGGGUAAGAGCCUACCAAGGAGAGGAUCGAUAGCUGGUCUGAGAGGAAGAACAGCCACACUGGGACUGAGACACAGCCCGGACUCCUACGCAAGGCAGCAAUGCGGAAUAUAGGACAAUGGGCGAAAGCCUGAACCAGCAAUGCCGCGUGAGUGAUGAAGGCCUUAGGGUAAAAAAGCUCUUUUACACGCGAUGAUAAUGACAGUACCGAGAGAAUAAGCUCCGGCUAACUCCGUG